UUUAAAUGGCCGCAGUAUACUAACUGUGCAAAGGUAGCAUAAUCAUUAGUCUUUUAAUUGAAGGCUGGUAUGAAUGGUUGGACGAGAUAUUAACUGUUUCAUAAAAAUUUAUAUUAGAAUUUUAUUUUUUAGUCAAAAAGCUAAAAUUUAUUUAAAAGACGAGAAGACCCUAUAAAUCUUUAUAUUUAAAUUAUUGUAAUUUUAUAGAUUAUUUUUCUUACAAUAAUUGAUGAUAUUUUAUUGGGGUGAUAUUAAAAUUUAAUAAACUUUUAAUUAUUUAAGUCAUUAAUUUAUGAGUAAUUGAUCCGUUAUUAACGAUUAAAAAAAUAAGUUACUUAGGGAUAACAGCGUAAUUUUUUUAGAGAGUUCUUAUCGAUAAAAAAGAUUGCGACCUCGAUGUUGGAUUAAGAUAUAAUUUUAGGUGUAG
rnacentral:rRNA from 1 species